GAUGAACGCUGGCGGCGUGCCUAACACAUGCAAGUCGAACGGAUUCGUUUUGGAAAUCUCUUCGGAGAUGGAAUUCUCGACUUAGUGGCGGACGGGUGAGUAACGCGUGAGCAAUCUGCCUUUAAGAGGGGGAUAACAGUCGGAAACGGCUGCUAAUACCGCAUAAAGCAUUAAAUUCGCAUGUUUUUGAUGCCAAAGGAGCAAUCCGCUUUUAGAUGAGCUCGCGUCUGAUUAGCUAGUUGGCGGGGUAACGGCCCACCAAGGCGACGAUCAGUAGCCGGACAGAGAGGUUAAGCGGCCACAUUGGGGCUGAGACACGGCCCAGACUCCUACGGGAGGCAGCAGUGGGGAAUAUUGCGCAAUGGGGGAAACCCUGACGCAGCAACGCCGCGUGAUUGAAGAAGGCCUUCGGGUUGUAAAGAUCUUUAAUCAGGGACGAAACAAAUGACGGUACCUGAAGAAUAAGCGCCGGCUAACUACGUG
rnacentral:rRNA from 1 species